AGCGAACGCUGGCGGCAGGCUUAACACAUGCAAGUCGAGCGGGCAUCCUUGUGGUGUCAGCGGCAGACGGGUGAGUAACGCGUGGGAACGUGCCCUUCGUUUCGGAAUAACUCAGGGAAACUUGAGCUAAUACCGGAUACGUGCGAGAGCAGAAAGGUUUAUCUGCCGAAGGAUCGGCCCGCGUCUGAUUAGCUAGUUGGUGAGGUUACGGCUCACCAAGGCGACGAUCAGUAGCUGGUCUGAGAGGAUGAUCAGCCACACUGGGACUGAGACACGGCCCAGACUCCUACGGGAGGCAGCAGUGGGGAAUAUUGGAAAAUGGGGGCAACCCUGAUGCAGCCAGGCCGGGUGAGUGAUGACGGCCUUAGGGUUGUAAAGCUCUUUUCUCCGGGACGAUAAUGACGGUACCGGAGGAAUAAGCCCCGGCUAACUUCGUG
rnacentral:rRNA from 1 species